rnacentral:rRNA from 1 species
GUGACCCCAGGAUGGGAGGGAU